GACGAACGCUGGCGGCGUGCCUAAUACAUGCAAGUCGAGCGGACUUUCAAGAAGCUUGCUUUUUGAAAGUUAGCGGCGGACGGGUGAGUAACACGUGGGCAACCUGCCUGCAAGACGGGGAUAACUCCGGGAAACCGGGGCUAAUACCGGAUAAUAUCUUUCUUCGCAUGAAGGAAGGUUGAAAGGCGGCGCAAGCUGCCGCUUGCAGAUGGGCCCGCGGCGCAUUAGCUAGUUGGUGAGGUAACGGCUCACCAAGGCGACGAUGCGUAGCCGACCUGAGAGGGUGAUCGGCCACACUGGGACUGAGACACGGCCCAGACUCCUACGGGAGGCAGCAGUAGGGAAUCUUCCGCAAUGGACGAAAGUCUGACGGAGCAACGCCGCGUGAGCGAAGAAGGUCUUCGGAUCGUAAAGCUCUGUUGUCAGGGAAGAACAAGUACCGUUCGAACAGGGCGGUACCUUGACGGUACCUGACCAGAAAGCCACGGCUAACUACGUGCCAGCAGCCGCGGUAAUACGUAGGUGGCAAGCGUUGUCCGGAAUUAUUGGGCGUAAAGCGCGCGCAGGCGGUCUCUUAAGUCUGAUGUGAAAGCCCACGGCUCAACCGUGGAGGGUCAUUGGAAACUGGGAGACUUGAGUGCAGAAGAGGAGAGCGGAAUUCCACGUGUAGCGGUGAAAUGCGUAGAGAUGUGGAGGAACACCAGUGGCGAAGGCGGCUCUCUGGUCUGUAACUGACGCUGAGGCGCGAAAGCGUGGGGAGCGAACAGGAUUAGAUACCCUGGUAGUCCACGCCGUAAACGAUGAGUGCUAAGUGUUAGAGGGCUUCCACCCUUUAGUGCUGCAGCUAACGCAUUAAGCACUCCGCCUGGGGAGUACGGCCGCAAGGCUGA
rnacentral:rRNA from 1 species